rnacentral:misc_RNA from 1 species
GGCUCAGUUCAGAUCGUAGGCUGCAACUCGCCUACGUGAAGUAGGAAUCGCUAGUAAUCGCAGGUCAGCAUACUGCGGUGAAUACGUUCCCGGGCCUUGUACACACCGCCCGUCACACCAUGGAAGUUGGCCAUGCCCGAAGUCGUUACUCCAACCCUUGUGGAGGAGGACGCCGAAGGUGGGGCUAAUGACUGGGGUGAAGUCGUAACAAGGUAGCCGUACCGGAAGGUGCGGCUGGAUCACCUCCUAACAGGGAGACAACAAAAUGUUUAAUAUUAUUAUUUUGUCACCUUAGGUCGAUCGGUAUCUCACGUUCUUGAUUUAUUAAGAAUUUCAUUUCCUAAGUUUUUCUAGGUCACACCCAUUAUUUUUCCUGGGCCAUUAGCUCAGGUGGUUAGAGCGCACCCCUGAUAAGGGUGAGGUCCCUGGUUCAAGUCCAGGAUGGCCCAUAUCUCUAUGUUGGGGGUAUAGCUCAGUUGGUAGAGCGCCUGCUUUGCAAGCAGGAUGUCAGCGGUUCGAGUCCGCUUACCUCCACUGAUUACCACCUCUACCAUAAUUUGUAGAAAGGAAAUUUUUUGAGUUGUGAUCAAAUUCUGAACGAAUCUAGCUUCCUAAUGAAAUCAUUAAGAUGCUGGACUCAUUGAAUUAAUUUCAUUGUUUUCAGAGAACCUUGACAACUGCAUAGAUUAUUUUUAAAGACAAUAAGCAUCAUUAAUGAUGCAGAUUUAUUAUUUGUGCGA